rnacentral:rRNA from 1 species
GACGAACGCUGGCGGCGUGCCUAACACAUGCAAGUCGAACGGAACUGUUUUGAAAGAUUUCUUCGGAAUGAAUUUGAUUUAGUUUAGUGGCGGACGGGUUAGUAACUCGUGAGUAACCUGCCUUCAAGAGGGGAAUAACAUUCUGAAAAGAAUGCUAAUACCGCAUGACAUAUCGGAACCACAUGGUUUUGAUAUCAAAGAUUUUAUCGCUUGAAGAUGGACUCGCGUCCGAUUAGUUAGUUGGUGAGGUAACGGCUCACCAAGACCGCGAUCGGUAGCCGGACUGAGAGGUUGAACGGCCACAUUGGGACUGAGACACGGCCCAGACUCCUACGGGAGGCAGCAGUGGGGGAUAUUGCGCAAUGGGGGCAAACCUGACGCAGCAACGCCGCGUGAAGGAUGAAGGUUUUCGGAUUGUAACCUUCUUUUAUUAAGGACGAAAAAUGACGGUACUUAAUGAAUAAGCUCCGGCUAACUACGUG